rnacentral:rRNA from 1 species
AACGAACGCUGGUGGCGUGCUUAACACAUGCAAGUCGAACGAGAAAGUUUCCUUCGGGAAAUUAGUAAAGUGGCGCAAGGGUGAGUAUCACGUGAAUAAUCUGCCCUCGAGAUCGGGAUAACAUGGUGAAAACUAUGCUAAUACCGGAUAAGACCACAUUUCAUAAGAAAUGCGGUAAAAAGGAGUCUCAACCUUCACUCGAGGAUGAGUUCGCGCAACAUUAGCUUGUUGGUGGGAUAAAAGCUCACCAAGGCUACGAUCAAUAGCUGAUCUGAGAGGAUGAUCAGCCACAUUGGGACUGAGACACGGCCCAAACUCCUACGGGAGGCAGCAGUGGGGAAUCUUGCACAAUGGGGGAAACCCUGAUGCAGCGAUGCCGCGUGAGUGAAG